GUGCUCACUUUGGCAGCACAUAUACUAAGGUUGGAAUGACACAGAGAAUAGCAUGGCCCCUGUUCAAGGAUGACAUGUAAAUUCGUGAAGCAUUCCAUAUUAAA